UACGGUUUUCUAGUUCGCCCACGAAAUCCCUCGCUAGUGAUCAGCCAUUUUUUAUCGUGAGUUGUGAUUGGCUGUUGUUCAUCGUAGGCUAUGAUUGGCUAGUUCUAGGUAUAUAUGGGAGAUAGGGCAAUGUCCUUUACACUACACUUCUGCAUACCGAAACCAUGGCAUCGCUCAAGACUUUCACAGCACUCUGCAUCUCUGUCCUUAUCGUUGCUAUUCUAAUUUCUUCUGCAAGAGCGAGUAAGAACCCGGUCCCAGGGAUUCCUUUUGGAAAACGCAGUUAUCUGAAUUCUAGGAUUAAGGCAAUACAAGGCAGAGGUUUGAUUUGCGAGGCUGCUACUCUAAUGGGAUGCGGACAGGAGUCCGACGGACAAAGACCGGUUUCCAACUUCCGAUUGACCAGGCCUCAACAAGACGCGUACUGAUAUAGAAGUGUCCCGGAUGCGAAAUGACGAAAUGACGGAAGUAUGGACGGAGAAUUGUCCAAGAAAAGAACUCGCUAUAAAAUGUACAAAUUUAGAUUAAAAUAAUACUCAAAUGUAGUGUACUUUACUAGAUGUUUACAUAGCUAAUUAAAGUGAGUUUCAUGAAAA